AAGGCUGUAUGCAGGACUGGAGCUUUGUUUACGGAGGCGUGCCGCCUUUUCUACCCCAGCUCUGUUUGACGUGCCUCAUCUAUCUGACUUGUUUUGCGGCAGGAAUUGAGUCGUCCAGCCCUGAAGUACUAAGACGUGACCUCCCACUUCAUCGAUCCUGACCCCUGCACUUGUCCUCCAGACCACCAGGGUGCACACUUCUGACUGGGGAGAAUCCAAUCACCGUGAAUCAGGAAAUGUCCAGCCCCCCGAGCAGACACCGUGAAAUGGGUUCAGAUGUGGUUCAAGGCCCUGGGCUCACUUUACUCCCAACCAGUGGAAAUGGACCCUCAACGCAGUUUCAGCAGCAACGUCAGAAUGAGGCGCUAGCUCAGGAAGCCAGGAUCACGCCGCUUACCUUUGCAAUCGAUAGCCCAAUCGUCAGAACUGAUUGGGUUCUGCAUCGCUCACCGCCGGUUUGCCUCCUGUGCACGUCCCCGUCUUGCUGAUUGACAGCAUAAACUCAUGAAGUUGUCUUAUGGCUCUGAACACGUUGGGGAUAGUGAGUGGCCACCAGUUACAGGGUUUUCACUGUUAAUGUUGUAUUCCGUGGAAAUUUUCGGAAUACGUUUGACAGGUACCAGAAGCAUCAGGCCGUCCAAACCCCCAUGCCCUGUCAAUUUUUGCACAGCAGCGAGACCCAGUGGUUUGCUCAUAGUUCCCAGAACC